UCCUGGCUGUAAACGCUGCAGACUUGGUGUUGGGAAUCCUACGUGGAUGCCCAGUGCCGUAGAGAAGUUGUUAAGUCUGCCGCUUGGGGAGUACGGUCGCAAGACUGAAACUUAAAGGAAUUGGCGGGAGAGCACAGCAACGGGAGGAGCGACUGUUACAUGAAAGCCAGGCUGAUGACUUUGCUAGAUUUUCAGAGAGGUGGUGCAUGGUCGCCGUCAGUUCGUACCGUAAG
rnacentral:rRNA from 1 species